CAACCAUGAGCGUUUCCCUCCAGGUGACCCCAGUAAGCGGGCAUUUGCUUAUUUUGUCCUUACUGGUGGUCGGUUUGUCUAUGCUUCAGUGAUCCGUCUCCUUAUCCUCAAGUUUGUGCUGAGCAUGUCUGCUAGUAAGGAUGUUCUUGCACUUGCCUCCCUUGAGGUUGAUCUCUCAGGCAUUGAGCCAGGAACCACUGUGACUGUUAAGUGGCGUGGAAAGCCAGUUUUCAUCAGGCACCGAACAGAAGAAGAUGUGAAGUUGGCAAAUAGUGUUGAGUUGGCAUCUCUUCGUGAUCCACAGCAAGAUGCAGAGAGGGUCAAGAAUCCAGAAUGGCUCAUUGUCAUAGGGGUCUGUACGCAUUUGGGUUGCAUUCCUUUGCCAAAUGCUGGUGAUUAUGGAGGCUGGUUUUGCCCAUGCCAUGGUUCACAUUACGAUAUCUCUGGUAGGAUUCGCAAGGGACCAGCACCGUACAAUCUGGAGGUGCCUACUUAUACCUUUUUGGAUGAGAACAAGUUACUGAUUGGCUGAG
rnacentral:misc_RNA from 1 species